rnacentral:lncRNA from 1 species
AAAAUUUAACAUUCAUUCAUAAUAAAAGCUCUCAGCAAACUCAAGAUAGAAGGGAACUCUCUCAAUCUAAUAAAGGGAAUCUAUGAAAACUUACACCUAAAACAUUACUUAAUGAUGAAAGACCAAAUGCUUUCUCCUGAAGAUCUGGCAAAAAUAUCUAAUCUUACCACUUCAAUAUUGUACUGGAGGUCCCAGCCAGUGCAAUAAGGAAGGAAAAUGAAAUCAAAGGCAUACAGAUUUGAAAGAAAGAAGUAAAACUGAAUUUACUUGUACACAGUAUAUGAUUUUGAGUACAGAAAAUUCUAAGGACUCCAAAAAAUUAAUAAAUGAGUUUAUCAAAGUUGUAGGGAAAAGGGCAAUUAAAAAAAUGGAAAUCAAAACUUAAAAUACCAUCUAGGUAACAUAAAUGAAAUAUUUAUGGCUACACUGAACAAAAUGGGUACAAAACAGAGUGCUAAAGAAUGGCAAAAUAUUGAUGAGAAAUUUUUAAAGAUCAAAAUAAGUGGAGAGGUAUAUUACAAUCAUAGAUGUGAAAACAAUAUUAUUAAAGUGUCAAUUCUUCCCCAAGUUGAUCUACAGAAUUAAUGUAAUUCCAAUCAAAAUCUCAGCAGGCUUUUUUGGGGUAGAAAUGGACAAGCUAAUUUUACACUUUACAUAGAAAUGCAAAAGACCUAGAAUAUUCAAAACAAUUUUGAAAAAGAGCAAAACUAGAGGACUUUAUAUUACCUGAUUUCAAGAUUUACUAUAGACCUAAAAUAAUCAAGAUGGUGGAAGGCAUACACUUAGAUAUAUAAACCAACAGAAGAGAACUGACAUUUUAGAAACAGACCCACAUGUAUAUGGUCAAUGGAUUUUUUACAAAUGUGCCAAGGUAUUUCAAUAGGGGAAAAACAGUCUUUUCAAAAUGUGAAAACUGAACAAAUGGAUAUUUGGGGGAGAGUGAUUAGAUGAACAUUUACCAUUGCCAAACAUCUUACAAAAAAUUAACUUGAAAUGGAGCGUAUAACCAAAUGUAAAAGCUAGAACUAUAAAACAUACAGAUGAAAAUAUCAGUGAAAAAUUUCACAACUAGAAGUAAAGAUUUACAUAAAUAAAACAUUAAAGUAAAAUUUGUUAAAAAAUUAGGAGUUCCUGUUGUGGCUCAGCAGGUUGUGAACCUAACUAGUAUCCAUGAGGAUGCGGGUCCAAUCCCUGGUCUCACUCGGUGGGUUAAGGAUUCAGCAUUGUCGUGAGCUGUGGUGUCAGUCACAGACACAGCUUGGAUCUUGCAUUGCUGUGGCUGUGGCAUGGGCCAGCGGCUGCAGCUCCAGUUUGACCCCUAGCCUGGGAACUUCCAUAUGCUGUGGGUGUGGCCCUAAAAAGCAAAUGAAUGAAUAAAUAAACUAAUUCAUGCUUAUGGUGCUAAAUUAAAAUUGGUCUUUGUUAAAAAGCCUGGGGAGUUCCCUUGUGGCACAGUGGAUUAAGGAUUUGGCACUGUCACUACAGCAGCUCAGGUCACUGCUGUGGCACAGGUUUGAUUUCUAGCCUGGGAAAUUCCACAUGCUGUGGGUGUGGCCAAAAAAUUGUAAAAAAUAAAAUAAAAUGUCUGGACUUUGAAAACCACCAUUAGUAACUUGCAAAGGCAAGCCACUGCCUAGGACAAAAUAUUCGCAAUACACAUAUUUUUAUUUAUUUAUUUAUUUUUGUCUUUUUAGGGCUGCACCCACGGCAUAUGGAGAUUCCCAGGCUAGGGGUCUAAUCGGAGCUGUUGCUGCUGACCUACACCAGAGCCACAGCAACAUCAGAUCCUUAACCCAUUGAGCAAGGCCAGGGAUCAAACCCGCAACCUCAUGGUUCCUAGUCGGAUUCAUUUCUGCUGUGCCACGACAGGAACUCCCACUAAUCUAUUUUCUGUCUCUAUAGAUUUGCCUAUUUUGGACAUUUCAAAUAAAUGAAAUCACACAAUAUGUGGUCUUUGUGACUGGCUUCCUUCAUUUAGCAUAUGUUUUCAAGAAUCAUCUAUGUUAUAGAAGGUACUAGUACUUCAUUCCUUUUUAUGGCUGAAUAAUAUUCCAUUAUACAGAUGUAUCACAUUUUGUUCAUCCAUUCUGUUGCUGACGGACAUUUCAGUUGUUUCUAUUUUUAGUUAUCAUGAAUAAUGCUACUGUGAUAUCCGUAUACAAGUCUUUGGAUGGGCAUACAUAUUUUCAUUUCUCCUGGGUUGUCAUAUAUGGAUGAAUCAGAUACAAGAGAGUACAUAUUAUAUGAGCUUAUGUGAAAUUCUAUAAAAGACAAAUCUAAUCUAUAGUGAUAGAAAUUACAUCAGUGGAUACCUAGGGCCCAGAUUUGCAAAUAAGACUAACUUUAUGUAAAAGAGAAGUUUUAGGGGUAAUGGAAAUGUUCCAUAUCCUAUGGUGGAGAUGAUUACAUAAAUGUUUUUAUAGUAUGUUAGUUAUAUCUCAAUAAAGUUAAAUAAAAUGUCCAAGAAAUCAUGACUAGUCAAAAAAAAAGGAACCCAUUGUGGUGCAGCGGAAAUGAAUCUGACUAGUAUCCAUGAGGACAUGGGUUGGAUCCCUGGCCUCAAAGUUCAGUGGGUUGGUGAUCCGGUGCUGCCGUGAGCUGUGGUGUAGGUUGCAGACACAGCUCGGAUCCCCAGUUGCUGUGGUUGUGGUUUAGAUGAGCAGCUGUAGCUCCGAUUUAGCCCCGAGCCUGAGAAUUUCCACAUGUCUCAGGUGCGGCCCUAAAAAGAAAAAAAAAGGAUGUAUGACCACAGCUGUAAAAUUAUGUCUUUUUUGGUCUUACCAUUCCAUUUUAGGUUGGGGCAAGGAUGAAUCACACUGAUGUAUCAGUAACUAUAAGCUAGGAGUUCCUAGUGCUUUCACACUGCCAAAGAUUCUACUCAUUGUGCUACUCCCCUCCACCUUUACACCCCUGGCAGUCCUCCUGACAAACUGAAUGGACUACAGUAGGAAUCAAAAGUAUUUAAAAUCAUUUUCAGCUAAGCAGUAGCCACAAGAGGUUUUUUAAGUGGGUGUACUUAGCUGGAUCUUUUGAAAAAAAAAAAAAUCACUCACCAAACUUAGGGACUUAUAAGGGCCUACUAUUAUCAAGGACAUCUAAUAAAGGUUCUACUUUUGCUUUUUCCUGAAACUGAGGCAAGGGUGAAAGAUAUGAGACGAUCGUGGUUCUCUUUGUGGAAACUCACUCCAAAUAAGGGUCAUCAGCCAAUCAUUUAUGGAUUUAUAAUGAGGCAACUCUUCACUAGGGUACAAGGAGUGAGGUUUAUCUGUCCUUCUUAGGUUUAUAAAGGGUUGGGCGUUGCUGAUAGAAGCAUACCAAAUAUACCAGUUGAGCGAGGUCUACAGGAGAGUACACAGGCAAAGGUCUUAGCAAGAAAGUAGUGAUCCUGGAGUUCCCUGGCAGCCUAGGAGGUUAAGGAUCCGGGAUUGUCACUGCUGUGGCUCGCGUUCAAUCUCUGGUCCUCGAACUUCCACGUAUUACCGUGUGCUCCCCCACCACAAAAAAAAAAAAAAAAAAAAAAAAAGAAGAAGAAGAAGGAGUGGUCUUGAUUCUUAUACUGUGAAGCAUCUUCAAGGGCAUGUAUGAUUCUUCCAUUUUUAUAGCACCUGGCUUGACACACAGAAGACACCCCUAUACUUUCACACCACAAAGAAAUAAUGUGGGGAAUCUGAAGAUGGCGCUUUAGAUCAAAGUAGCUGGAAAAGGGAAACAAGCCAAUAGUACAGGAACUAGAACAAAAAGCAACCUGAUAACAAAAUCACAGGUCUCACUGAGUGAGCAUCCCUCCCUCCACUGGGUGCUCACAGUGACUUUCUUUUCAAGAUAAUCUGAAUAUCUCUCCAGGGCACAAUCACCCAAUAUAAUUGUUUGGAAAUAACAAUUAUAUCCAAAAGGUGGACAUAAAUCUUUUAGGUUAAAAAAGAUGAUGAUGAUGAUGCUUUUUAAAAGAUAACUGUUUCCAUGACAUCCUGCUGUCUAGCACUGGGAACUAUAUCUAGUCACUAAUGAUGGAGCAUGAUAAUGUGAGAAAAAAGAAUGUAUACAUCUAUAUGUGACUGGGUCACCUUGCUGUAUAGCAUAAAAUUGACAGAACACUGUAAACCAGCUAUAAUGGAAAAAAUAAAAAUCAUUAUAAAAAAAGAUAACUGUUUCCUCUAUACAGUCAACUUGUAUAAAAUAAUGAAGUUUCUCCUUUUCCCCCUUUCUAUUUUCUUUCCUUUUUCUUUCUCCUUCCCUCCUUCCUUCUUUCCAUUCAUUUUACCACAUCCACAGCACACAGAAGUUCCCAGGCCAGGGUUCGAACACAUGCCACAAAAGUGACCCAAGCCACAGAAGUGAUGAUGCCAGAUCCUUUAUCUACUAGGUCACCAGGGAACUCCCCCUUUCUAUUUCCUUUUUUUCGUGCCAUGCCCACAGCAUGUAGAAGUUCCUAGGCCAGAGAUCAAACCUGUGCCACAGCAGUGACUAGAGACCCACAAAGAAACUCUUAUUUUCAUCUCAUAUACUUCAGGACCAAACUCACUUUCAGAACCAAUUUAAGUGAGUUCUCCUAGUCUGUCCAUGUCUUUCAAGCUUGCUACCAAAGUGCUCUCCACUGCCCUGAGAUUUAUUGAUCCGACAGACUGGCUGUGCCUUUCAGCAAGGUGGACCAGAUAAUGAACCUCACAGUGGGUAAUUAAUGAGAGGCCAUCAGUUGGUUAAAGGAAUGGCAACGUUGACUUUAAUUUCCCUGGGCUGUUGCCCCACCUCCCUGACUUUAUUUGGUUUAAGCCCUAGACACCCCAUGUGAAGCUUUUCUUUAAUACUAAUUAUAGACCCAACAUGCCCAGGUCCUUACCCUGAACAAGCAAGGCAUGCAAUCACACCAAGGGGCAGCCAAGAUUAUGGAGGUGGGGGAAAUACGAUACACAAAUAUUGCAUCAGGCCGCCUUCUCUAAUGCCUUAUUAUAGGCAGGACAGUCCACUCAGCUCAAACCAAAAGGCAGAUCUCUGUCUUCACCACUUGAGGUUUCUUUCCUUGGAAACAUAUCACAUCUCAGGGAGGGAGACAGAAACUACCGUCCCUGUUCUUACUUUCCUAGCAAUAUGACAGGAAGUCUCUGCCUCCAUGCUAGGCUUCACUUAUCUAUCCAUCCCUAACAGAAUUCUUUUAACAGAAUUCUAGCUGGGUGGGUCAUUUUUAAGACUGUAACUUCCUUUGAGCAGGAUCACUGUGGUAGGGCAAAGUGCUGUUUUGGUACUUAGCAAAAACAUUUCCAAUUAACACAGCUUAUAACAGAGAUAACAGCUUGCACAGCAACACUUCUGGCUUCAGACGGUACCACCACAGCGGUAAACCAUGGUCUUCUAAGCACACUUUAUAGAGUUCUGUGCUAACCUCCAGGGAAGAGGCUGCAAUGGAAAUAAAACAAAAGCUCCCAAAGACCUAUUUGGGAGGAAGGAGGUGGCUGAAAAACAAACUGAAGAGUGAAGUCCUACCUGUACAUCUAAUAACUGGGACAAAGCAUCCUCCUUAGCUUAAGCCAAGAAAGCAGAAUAGCUAGCUGUCUUCUGCAGCCUUUUGAGAGGCUGACAGCUACUGGAGUUCCUACGAGCUCCAAGACUUUUCCUCCCAUGCACUGCCAAUGAAGUUUCACUGACAGUGAAGCCUGAUUGAGGAAGACCAGAAGUUUACGUGAGGGGCAUUUCAAAAUCCACAAUUAUUAGGAGAAAAUGCUGACAGUGGCAGACAUGCAUAAUAAGCUGAGCUCUUCAGGCUCCCGUUUAGUACUUUCUUUCCUUAACUGAAUGGGCCCCUCCCAAACUGGGACCUUUCCCUAAACUUCCCCUCCCACCAGGAAUGUGCCCCUUUAUCCCCAUUCUCCUUCUACCUUCCUAUACUGACUUGCCUCCUCCUUCAGACUGCUGAAAAACUCCAGUUGUCUUACAUGCCUCAGCUGAUGAAAAGCUCAGACUUGGGCGUCAGACAGACCUAGGUUCACAUUACGGCUUUAUCUCUAACAGCUGUGUGACCUUUGAACCAAUUACUUAGUCUCUUUAGCAUCCUCAUCUAUAAAAUGAGGAUAAUCAUAACUACACAAAACUGCUGAUUAAGUAAAUAACCUUAGUAAAAGUGCCUAGCUCAAAAACUACCUAGCCUUUCCUUUUACCUCUUUGUGUCCUUUUAGGGCCACAACCUCAGCACAUGGAAGUUCCUAGGCUAGGGGCUGAAUCAGAGCUGGGGCUGCCGGCCACAGCCAUAGCUACGCAGGAUCUGAGCC